rnacentral:misc_RNA from 1 species
AGGAACCAUUGACAUGGAUCUCAUCACAACUGGAGUAUCUGCAAGUGAAAGGAUGAGAAGGGAGAAUUUGGUGUCAAGCACCCGCAACAUAAUUAUGGAGAAGAUGCAGCUUGGGGGACCAUCAACUCGUUUGCUAGAGUUACUGGAAGACGUCAAGAAGCAAAGUUCUGGUGGUGAAGUCCACCUAGCAGAUCUGCGAAAUGCACUGGCUACCCUCGCAACCGAAGGACUGGUUGUUGUUCAUGGAGACACUGUGAAGAGAAUAUGAUGAGAGGAGUGCUCCGGAAACUUGGGGCGAUA